AAUGAACGUUGGCGGCGUGGAUUAGGCAUGCAAGUCGCGCGAAAUUUCCUUCGGGAGAUGGACAGCGGCGAAAGGGAGAGGAAUACGUAGAAAUCUGCCCUCGAGCCUGGGAUAGCGGCGGGAAACUGCCGGUAAUACCAGAUAACGUCUUCGGACCAAAGGUGUGAUUCCGCUUGAGGAUGAGUCUACGUCCUAUUAGCUAGUUGGUGGGGUAAUGGCCUACCAAGGCAACGAUGGGUAGCGGGUGUGAGAGCACGAUCCGCCUCACUGGGACUGAGACACUGCCCAGACACCUACGGGUGGCUGCAGUCGAGAAUCUUCGGCAAUGGGGGAAACCCUGACCGAGCGACGCCGCGUGCGGGAUGAAGG
rnacentral:rRNA from 1 species